rnacentral:tRNA from 1 species
GCUCCACUAGCCCAAUUGGAAGAGGCAACAGAUUCAAACUCUGUAAAGUAUCGGUUCGAAUCCGAUGUGGAGUA